rnacentral:tRNA from 1 species
UCCUCGAUAGCUCAGUUGGUAGAGCAAGCGGCUGUUAACCGCUGGGUCGUAGGUUCGAGUCCUACUCGGGGAG